rnacentral:rRNA from 1 species
GAAAACGUUGGCAGCAGUAAAGAAUUUUAUGCAAUAUACGAAAGUAAGACAUAGGCAGAACCUUUUAACCUGUCAAAUUAAGUGCCAGCAGACGCGGUGAAACUUAAGGGUUUGUUUUUUAGAAAAAGCAGAAAGCGUGUAAAGGUAAAACAUUUAAAAUAAAUAGAAUUUUUUUAGUAAUAGUGCAAUAUUAAAAGAAAAAAAAGAAUUUUUUAUGUGAAGACAAUUUAUUUUUUUUCUUUAACACGAAGGUUCUGGGAGCAAACAGGAUUAGAGACCCUGGUAGUCGAUACAGUAAAAGAAAGUCGCUUGAGUAGUACGGUCGCAAGAUUAAAAUUCAAAAAACUUGGCUGUUCAUUGUUAUUUAGAGGAGCGCGUUGCUUAAUUCGAUAGCCCGCGAGUUACCUUACCAAAACUAGCUUUUUCAGGUGUUGCAUGGCCGUCGUCAAUUUAUGUUUGAUACAAUAGAUUAAACCCUAGAAAGGUUGAAGUCAGGUAUUAUUGCCUUUAUGUUUUGGGGUUCGAUGCGCUACAUUUUUUUUUUUAAUAAAAAAAAAGAGUUCGGAUUGUCUUUAAAAGAGGAUGAUGAAGGGGGAUUUAAUAGUAAUUGAAAAGUAGAGCGUUUCAAUGAAUUUGCCGCAAUGUUAGUACAAAUUGCCCGUCGCCUCUGCUGAUGGAAACAAAGUAGAGUAA